rnacentral:rRNA from 1 species
CAAGUCGAGUGCGCGUGCCGUAGCAAUACGGUAUGGCGCACGGCGCACGGGUGCGUAACACGUGGGCAAUCUGCCCUUCGAUGGGGAAUAACUUCGGGAAACCGAAGCUAAUUCCGCAUAACAUUCCUUGGAUUUCGGUUCGAGGACUCAAAGCCGUAAGGCGUCGAAGGAGGAGCCCGCGCCCGAUUAGCUAGUUGGUGAGGUAAUGGCUCACCAAGGCAAUGAUCGGUAGCUGGUCUGAGAGGAUGGCCAGCCACACUGGAACUGAGACACGGUCCAGACUCCUACGGGAGGCAGCAGUGGGGAAUCUUGCGCAAUGGGCGAAAGCCUGACGCAGCGACGCCGCGUGGGGGAUGAAGCAUCUCGGUGUGUAAACCCCUUUCGACUGGGACGAAUGCCUCGCAAGAGGAGUGACGGUACCAGUAGAAGAAGCCCCGGCUAACUACGUGCCAGCAGCCGCGGUAAGACGUAGGGGGCCAGCGUUGUUCGGAAUUACUGGGUGUAAAGGGUUCGUAGGCGGUGCGGCAAGUUGGGAGUGAAAUCUCUGGGCUUAACCCAGAGGCUGCUUCCAAAACUGCUGUGCUUGAGUGUGGGAGAGGCGCGUGGAAUUGCAGGUGUAGCGGUGAAAUGCGUAGAUAUCUGCAGGAACACCCGUGGCGAAAGCGGCGCGCUGGACCACAACUGACGCUGAGGAACGAAAGCUAGGGGAGCAAACAGGAUUAGAUACCCUGGUAGUCCUAGCCCUAAACGAUCAGGACUUGGGGUGCCGCCCGUUCGGGCGUCGUCCCGGAGCUAACGCGUUAAGUCCUGCACCUGGGGAGUACGGUCGCAAGACUGAAACUCAAAGGAAUUGACGGGGGCCCGCACAAGCGGUGGAACAUGUGGUUC